GACAAACUAGAUCAAGUUAAGAUUAACACAGUAAAAAAGUGGUCAAAGAACAGCUAAUGCCCAUAAAGCAUUAUAGUAUUAUCUAGGAAAAUUAUGUUUUCUAUAAAGGUGGAAUUUGUAUAGAAAAACUAAAUUAUUAUUUCCCUGUCUACUUGAAGCCACGAAAUCUCAACUAAAGACCGGGAUUAGAUACCCCGUUAUUUGAGACGUAAAUUUUGAUUUUUUUUUAGAAAAUUUACUUGAGCAUUACGGGUUUUAUAAAUUCAUAUUUAUAAAAACAGCCUAAAACUCAAAAGACUUGGCGGUGCCUUAAAUCCUUUCAGGGGAACCUGUCCUAUAAUUGAUAGUCCACAAUUUACCUUUCCUUUUUUUGAAUAUCUUAUCAGUCUGUAUACCGUCGUCGUCAGAUUACCUCUUAGAGGAUAAAAGUUAUCGAUUAGAAAAACCUUCUAUUUGAGCUAUUACUAGUUCUUAGUUAAAGAAUGCCUUCUAAACGUCAGAUCAAGGUGCAGCCUACGAAAAGGAAGAGAUGGGUUACAAUAAUUAAUUAUUAUACGAAUUUCUUUUUGCAAAAAAAGUUUAAAGGAGGACUUGGAAGUAAUUAUUAGAGAAGUAGAGAGUCUCGGUGAAGAUGGCUCUAAGGCGUGU
rnacentral:rRNA from 1 species